UACAGAGGGGCAAGCGUUAUUCGGAAUUAUUGGGCGUAAAGCGCGCGUAGGUGGCCACAUAAGUCCGUUGUGAAAGUCAAAAGGGCUCAACCUUUGAAAGCCGAUGGAUACUGUGUGGCUAGAGUACGGAAGAGGCGAGUGGAAUUCCUGGUGUAGCGGUGGAAUGCGCAGAUAUCAGGAGGAACACCAAUAGCGAAGGCAGCUCGCUGGGACGUUACUGACACUGGAGGCGCGAAAGCGUGGGGAGCGAACAGG
rnacentral:rRNA from 1 species